UACAGAGGGUGCGAGCGUUGUCCGGAAUCACUGGGCGUAAAGGGCGCGUAGGUGGCUUGGUAAGCGUGUGGUGAAAGUCCGGGGCUCAACCCCGGAUCUGCCGUGCGAACUGCUGAGCUCGAGCAAUGUAGAGGCAGGUGGAAUUUCGGGUGUAGCGGUGGAAUGCGUAGAUAUCCGAAAGAACACCAGUGGCGAAGGCGGUUACCUGGACAAUUACUGACGCUCAGGCACGAAAGCAUGGGGAGCAAAAGGGAUUAGAAACCCUAGUAGU
rnacentral:rRNA from 1 species